rnacentral:tRNA from 1 species
AGUAAUAUGCCUGAAUUAAAGGGUUAUUUUGAUGAAAUAAUUAUGUAAUUAUAAUUACUAUUACUU